rnacentral:lncRNA from 1 species
AGCACUGUGGCCAGGUAGCCUGAGACCCGGCGAGAGACAGUGACCUAAAACGGAAAAGAGGGUUUGGUGGUGUGGGGCGAGGGGGAGAAAGAGAGAAACAGUAAGGGCCAAUAAGCCUCGACUGAUGAUGAGCGUAGGGAUGCAGAGAAAAAGGAAGGGUCAGUUGAGGUCAGCGCCCUCUGGUUACUGCCCCCUCCGAACCCAGGAGAUCACACAGAGAUCGGAGGAAUUUCGGCUAAAGAAAUUUAAGACCAAAACACAAGCCCCGGCCAGAUGCCGUAAAAUCUUCAUAAAUCUGUCAGCGGUCCCAGUGCUUCGGGCGAUCACCUGCGGCGUGCCUCUCCUGGCACCAGCGGGGUCUGGGAAGAGAUGCGGGGAAGGAACUGGAAUCUGGAUCCUUCCGAGGCCGCCCCCGCGUGGCCCUGGCAGACCGCGCCCGGACCCAGGCGCCACAGGCUGUGCGGGGAGUGCGGACCCCCCGGCUCUCCAACCCGGACCGACGUCCCGGGCGGCUCCGCCUCGCCCCCGCUUCCCGGUCCUGCAGUCGUCUGAGGGAGAAUACGGUAGAGGCAAGAUCUCCGAUCCUGUUUCCCCACGGGAGCUCCUCUUCCUGGGAAAUCAGAGACUUGGGUUAUAUAAGAGCAUACAAGACACUUAAAUGAGAUCCCACGGUGUAUAAACCCCACUGUGUCUCAGUGUCGUCGCUCUCCGAAUUUCCCUCUUCUUCGGGGACAGUUCACGUCGAAGCCCCAAGAGAAGCCCGUUUACUGUAGGUGCCUGCCCCCUCCACGACCUCAAGGAGACAAACCUGCCCCAGGCCGCACGCGCAGAGAGCCUGCGGGAAAGAGCACCCGCAUGGAUGACUCCUCACUGUGGGCACGGACCCCGCGCCGGCCGAGGAGGUCGGGACUGACUGGGCGAGAGCGGGAGACCGGGACCAGGCUUGGUGCGUACUCUGUUCCCCACCCCUACCUCCGGCCCAGGCUAAAAAGCAGGAUUUGGAGGCGGAAACAGCAGCGACCGCGGGAAUCCGCAGCGUCCCCGGGGACCGCCCGGGCGGAACCGCAGGGAGACGCGCACAGCGAGGUCCAGAGGAAUGGGGAAAGAGCUGCUCUUCCCUGGGAUUCGUUCCCCGGCUGCCAGGAUGCGCCCAUCUGGUUCCCUGUGUGCUCUCAAAUCUAUCUACAGGCAGAGAAAUCCACGCUCGGCUUUCCUGGGAAUUCUUCUGUCGUGCCCCU